UGGGGAAUAUUGCGCAAUGGGGGGAACCCUGACGCAGCCAUGCCGCGUGAAUGAAGAAGGCCUUCGGGUUGUAAAGUUCUUUCGGUAUUGAGGAAGGUUGAUGUGUUAAUAGCACAUCAAAUUGACGUUAAAUACAGAAGAAGCACCGGCUAACUCCGUGCCAGCAGCCGCGGUAAUACGGAGGGUGCGAGCGUUAAUCGGAAUAACUGGGCGUAAAGGGCACGCAGGCGGUUAUUUAAGUGAGGUGUGAAAGCCCCGGGCUUAACCUGGGAAUUGCAUUUCAGACUGGGUAACUAGGGUACUUUAGGGAGGGGUAGAAUUCCACGUGUAGCGGUGAAAUGCGUAGAGAUGUGGAGGAAUACCGAAGGCGAAGGCAGCCCCUUGGGAAUGUACUGACGCUCAUGUGCGAAAGCGUGGGGAGCAAACAGGAUUAGAUACCCUGGUAGUCCACGCUGUAAACGCUGUCGAUUUGGGGGUUGGGGUUUAACUCUGGCGCCCGUAGCUAACGUGAUAAAUCGACCGCCUGGGGAGUACGGCCGCAAGGUUA
rnacentral:rRNA from 1 species